rnacentral:rRNA from 1 species
CGCGUAGGUGGCUUGAUAAGUCGGUGGUGAAAUCCCAUGGCUCAACCAUGGAACUGCCGUCGAUACUGUCAGGCUUGAGGGCGGUAGGGGAGAGUGGAACUCCUGGUGUAGCGGUGAAAUGCGUAGAUAUCAGGAGGAACGCCGGUGGCGAAAGCGACUCUCUGGGCCGUUCCUGACACUGAUCCGCGAGAGCUAGGGGAGCAAACAGGAUUAGAUACCCUGGUAGUCCUAGCUGUAAACGAUGGGCACUAGGUAGAGGUGGUUUCGAAGCCUCCUCUGCCGGAGCUAAUGUGUUAAGUGCCCCGCCUGGGGAGUAUGGUCGCAAGGCUAAA